AGUGAACGCUGGCGGUAUGCCUAACACAUGCAAGUCGAACGGCAGCACAGUAAGAUCUUGCUCUUACGGGUGGCGAGUGGCGGACGGGUGAGGAAUACAUCGGAAUCUACUUUUUCUUGGGGGAUAACGGAGGGAAACUUACGCUAAUACCGCAUACGACCUACGGGUGAAAGCAGUGGAUCUUCGGACCUUUCGCGAUUGAAUGAGCCGAUGUCGGAUUUGCUAGUUGGCGGGGUAAAGUCCCGCCAAGCCAAGGAUCCGUAACGGGUCUGAGAGGAUGAUCAGCCACACUGGAACUGAGACACGGUCCAGACUCCUAAGGGAGGCAGCAGUGGGGAAUAUUGGACAAUGGGCGCAAGCCUGAUCCAGCCAUCCCGCGUGGGUGAAGAAGGCCUUCGGGUUGUAAAGCCCUUUUGUUGGGAAAGAAAAGCAGCAGGUUAAUACCCCGCUGUUCUGACGGUACCCAAAGAAUAAGCACCGGCUAACUUCGUG
rnacentral:rRNA from 1 species